rnacentral:lncRNA from 1 species
AGCGGCACGUGUCAGGACACGUCAAGACAUGGCAGUGGCACGUGUCAGGACAUGUCAGGACAUGUCAUGACACGUCAGGACAUGGCAGGACAUGGCAGGGCGUGACCAUGGCAUGACUCAUGACGGCGCAGAACAUGGCACGCCGUAGCCAUGGCAAGAGUCAGGACGUCGCAGGACGCGUCAGGACAUGGCCAUCGUACGUGUCAGGACAUGGCAGGGCAUGGCCAUGGCACGAGUUGGGACGUCGCAUGACAUGGCAGAGCGUGGCCAUGGCAUGAGUCAGGACGUCGCAGGACAUGGCAGGGCGUGGCCAUGUCAUGACUCAUGACGUCGUAGGUGAUGGCAGGGCGUGGCAAUGGUACGUGUCAGGACGCAUCAAAAAAUGGCCAUGGCACGUGUCAGGACGCAUCAGGACAUGGCAGGGCGUGGCCAUGGCACGAGUCCAGGACAUGGCCAUGGCACGUGUAAGGACGCAUCAAGACAUGGCCAUGGUACGUGUCAGUACGUUGCAAGACAUGGCAUGAUAUGGUCAUGGUACGUUUCAGGACGUGUCAGGACAUGGCCAUGGUGCGUGUCAGGACAUGGCCAUGGUACGUGACAGGACGUCGCAGUACAUGGAAGGAUAUGGCCAUGGCACGACACCGCACCACAUCGCACCACGUCUAUUGCUAACCAAUGCUUAGAAACAUGUCAAGCACAAUGAUGUUGGUAGUCGUUGGCGGCGGCGGUGGAAACGGGGUGGUUCGAGCGGUAUCAUUGGGUGACAGUCGGACGACGCGUGGUGGUCGGCGGCGGUUUCUUCAAAUCCUAAUCACUUGUUGUGGUUGGGCAACACGUCAAGCGCAAUGAUGUUGGUUGUCAUUGGUGGCGGUGGUGUAAAGUCGCAUUGGCUCGAGCGGUAUCUACCGUCGACGGUUGGUCGACGCUUUGUGGUUGGCGGCGGUUUAUUCAAAUCAGAAUCACUUGUUGUGGUUGCGACAAUGGAGGUGCGUCGUGCUUAUUGGCGGUUGGUCAUGUAUACGCUUUUAUAAUAAUAUUAUUUAUUUUUCCUAUUUUUAAUAGAAUCACUUAUUGUGGUUGCGACAAUGGAGGUGCCUCAUGCUUAUUGGCGUUUGGUCAUCUAUACGCUUUAAUAAUAAUAUUUUCCUAUUUUUAAUAUAUGUUUUAGUAAUUUAUAUGCAUUUCUUCUUAUUUUAAAUUAUUUUUAUGUCACUUUUUAAUAAAAAUAUUUUCUCUUUUAUAUGUUAUGCUAUUACAAGUUGUAUUGGAAUUUUUCUCCAUCAUUUUUUCUAUUUUUAUAAUAAUUUUCAUAUUUUUUAGUAUUUUAUUAAGUGUUUUUCGUUUUUAAAUAAAAAUAUAUCAAAAAAGUAUCAAUUUUAAAAAAAAAAAAUCAUUUACAAUUUUUAAAAUUCAUUUGUGAAUAUAUUAUCCAAGUUGUACUUUGGUUUGUGCUAUUUGGUGUUGUACAUGUCUAUUAUGAUUCUCUGGACAAAACAAGUCUACUCUUGAAACUUGGGUUUUUUUUUAAGCAUAUAUUAGGGUGGUAGAGGUGUUUAGAGGCACGUCAGGUGCUUGCUGCCAGGAAGGGGCGGGCAUGCAUUGGGGACGCUGGCAUGGGGCGUGGGUAUUGGGGGCAUGCACGGCUUGUUGAAACUUGGGUUUUUUUUAAGCAUAUAUUAGGGGGGUAGAGGUGUUGAGAGGCACGUCAGGUGCUUGCUGCCAGGAAGGGGCGGUCUAGCAUGGGGGACGCUGGCAUGGGGUGUUGGUAUUGGGGGCGUGCACGGCUUGUUCGUGCUACGUCCUCGAUGUUCCCAAACAGUGCCGGCAAGUACUCGUGUGGGCUCGUAGUAAGCCUUGUUGUGGCACCGCUCGUGGCAAACAUUGGCUUUUGGCAAUGCACGGUGGAACGUCAUGCAAGUAGCGCCGCAAGGUUCCGUGCGCAUGGGGCGAACUUAGUACUUGUUUAUCGCCAUUGGAUGUUGCGGGAAAAAUCGGGAGGCGACAUCCCUCGUGGAGGCUUUUGGCUUUUGACAACAGUACGGCAAAGCGUCGUGCAAGUAGCGGCGCAAGGUGUCGUGCGCUUGGGGCGAAGCUUAGUAAGUUGUUGUUGAUUGCCAUCGGUUGUUGUGGGUUGUGUCUGGAAUAUCUCGUGGAGGCUGAUGGCUUUCAACAAUGAACGGCGGAGCCUCGUGCAAGUAGCGCCGCAAGGUGCCGUGCGCAUGGGGCGAUGCUCAAUAGAUGUCGAUAGCCAUCAGUUGUUGCGGGCAACAUCGCUCGUGGCGGUUGAUGGCUUUCGUUAAUGGAACGACGGAGCUUCGUACAAGUAGCGCCGCAAGGUGCCGUGCGCAUGGGGCGAAACGGAGAAAGUUGCCUAUUGCCAUCGAUUGUUGUGGGUUGUGUCUCCGUAGCGGCUUAUGGCUUUUGACAACGAACGGCGUAGCAUCGUGCAAGUAGCACCUCAAGGUGCCGUGCGCACGGGGCGAAGCCGAGUAAGUUGUUAAUUGCCAUCGGUUGUUGCGGGACGUAUCGAUUGCUGUGGGUUGUGUCUGUGAACCCCCCUCAGUAGAUAUUCAUUGCCAUCGGUUGUUGCGGGAAACAUCAGGAGGCUACAUCUCUUGUUGUAGUUGAUGGCUUUUGGCAACAAAAUGGCAAAGCAUCGUGCAAGUAGCGCCGCAAUGUGCCGUGCGCACGGGGCAAAGCUUAGUAAGUUGCUGAUUGCCAUCGGUCAUUGCGGACAACAUCGGGAGGUGAAAUCGCUCGUGGCGGCUGAUGGCUUUUGGCAACAAAAUGGCAAAGCAUCGUGCAAGUAGCGCCGGAACGGCGGAGCAUCGUGGAAGUAGCGUCGUAAGGUUCCGUGCGAACGGGGCAAAGCUCAAUAGAUGUUCAUUGCCAUCGGUUGUUGCGGGAAACAUCGGGAGGCGACAUCGCUCGUGGUAGUUGAUGGCUUUUGGCAACAAAAUGGCAAAGCAUCGUGCAAGUAGCGCCGCAAUGUGCCGUGCGCACGGGGCAAAGCUUAGUAAGUUGCUGAUUGCCAUCGGUCAUUGCGGACAACAUCGGGAGGUGAAAUCGCUCGUGGCGGCUGAUGGCUUUUGGCAACAAAAUGGCAAAGCAUCGUGCAAGUAGCGCCGCAAGGUGCCGUGCGCACGGGGGGAAGCUUAGUAAGUUGCUGAUUGCCAUCUGUUUGUUGCGGGCAACAUCGGGAGGCGACAUCGCUCGUGGCGGCUGAUGGCAUUUGGACACAAAAUGGCGAAGCAUCGUGCAAGUAGCGCCGCAAGGUGCCGUGCGCACGGGGCGAAGCUUUGUAAGUUGCCGAUUGCCAUCGGUUGUUGCGAGCAACAUC